rnacentral:rRNA from 1 species
GGGUCAGUUGGUUGGUGGUGCCACCGGUACGUACUGGUCUCACUGAUUCCUCCUUCCUGAAGAACCGUAAUGCCAUUAAUUUGGUGUUGCGGGGAAACAGGACUGUUACUUUGAAAAAAUUAUAGUGUUUAAAGCAAGCUAACGCUUGAAUACAUUAGCAUGGAAUAAUGAAAUAGGACGAUCGAUCCUAUUUUGUUGGUUUCUAGGAUUUACGUAAUGAUUAAUAGGGAUUUUGG